rnacentral:rRNA from 1 species
UACGGAGGAUCCAAGCGUUAUCCGGAAUCAUUGGGCUUAAAGGGUCCGUAGGCGGUUUAGUAAGUCAGUGGUGAAAGCCCAUCGCUCAACGGUGGAACGGCCAUUGAUACUGUUAAACUUGAAUUAUUAGGAAGUAACUAGAAUAUGUAGUGUAGCGGUGAAAUGCUUAGAGAUUACAUGGAAUACCAAUUGCGAAGGCAGGUUACUACUAAUGGAUUGACGCUGAUGGACGAAAGCGUGGGUAGCGAACAGG